CUGCUGCUCCAUCCAACUUGGUCGGGCUGCUGCAGCUCCAACCCGUGAAAAACAAGGAGGUUGAGAGGAUCUACGUGACAAUCAGACCUAGCAGUGCUCAACUUUUUAUUCACUUCUUGUCUUCUCGGCUGUUUUUUCUGUUUGUUUUGGUUCAGAUCAAAGCAAUAGUGACACUUCUGCAUAUAUAGAUUGAAGUGAUUAUUUUUUUGCUUCGAUAAGUUCUUCUUGCUGAAGCGAAUAAAGCUUCAUCAGUGCCCAUGAACUAGGAGCUGAUCGGCUUCUAAAGAGGCAUCAAACAUUAAAAGCAAUACAAUUUUCCCUUUGCCUGUCGAGAUUUGAACGCCUGCUAUGCAAUCUGCACAUUGUAUGGUUAAGCAAACUUAAUUGAUCUGAUUUUGUUCCUCUUGAUGGCCUUUUCAAAGUAUAAUUUUGUCCUGGCAGGAGACAAAUCCUUAACACGUGAAUUAUUUAAGAGGUAUUAUAAGACACCAAAUUUCGAGCAAAAUCGAGAUGUUAGACUUGAAGAUGUCGAUACUGCAUUCAGUGGGUGCCUUUUUUCCUAUUGUCAUUGAACUACAUCAUGGUAUCCCCAACAUUAUUCUAUUAUUGAUGUCUUCGUCCAGAUUAUGACAUGAUUUCUGCUCUUAGAGAUGAUAGGUUAGAUCCUUCUGUUGUACCAGGCAAUUGGGAUGUCAAGCAAUAUGUUUUUACUUCGAACUACAUUUGUCUGUAUAUACCCUUUUGUUGUUUCAGUUUCAUGCAGAUGAUAUAUGUGGACAAAUGGACUGGCAUGGUAUGGAACAACUGCCUAUUUUCUGUGGCUGGAGAAUACAAAUACAGUAAUAAUUCUUUUGCUCUGAUCAUUUAGUCAUAAUGGAUAAAAUAGCUUACUCUUAGCCUUGCUAGAUGUAAUGCA